UACGGGGGGGGCAAGCGUUGUUCGGAAUUACUGGGCGUAAAGGGCUCGUAGGUGGCCAACUAAGUCGGACGUGAAAUCCCUCAGCUUAACUGGGGAACUGCAUCCGAUACUGGAUGGCUUGAGUUUGGGAGAGGGAUGCGGAAUUCCUGGUGUAGCGGUGAAAUGCGCAGAUAUCAGGAGGAACACCGGUGGCGAAGGCGGGUCUCUGGGCAACAACUGACGCUGAGGAGCGAAAGCGUGGGGAGCGAACAGG
rnacentral:rRNA from 1 species